AUAGUCCAAUGGUUAAGACUCUGCACUCCCAAUGCAGGGGGCCCAGGUUCGAUCCCUGGU
rnacentral:tRNA from 1 species